rnacentral:tRNA from 1 species
CCCCGUGUGGCUCAGUUGGUAGAGCAUGGUGUUUGGAACAACAGGGUUGUGGGUUUGAUUCCCACGGGGG